rnacentral:tRNA from 1 species
AGGAGCGUAGCUCAAUGGUAGAGUACCGGUCUCCAAAACCGGGGGUUAUGGGUUCGAGUCCCCUCGCUCCUGCCA